ensembl:ncRNA B0302.7 ncRNA
UUUUCUCACGCUAAAUUUCAAACAUCUUCUAAGCGAUCAACCAAACAAUCACAUUAUUAUCUACAUGGGGACUUCGUGCAAAUACGAGCCGCUGGUGGUGACAUGGUAGAAAAG